UGGAGAGGGGCGGGGGAUACUCUCCUCUCACCAGGAUGCCCUUCCCACCGCAGGUCAUCCAGGGGCACCUCCCCUCCACCCCAUGAUUACCCAGAAGAACCAGACAGUGCCUGUCAGGAGGAACCUGGGCCUGCUGCUGAAGCCUUAGAGACCUCAGCCCAUCUCGCCCAGCAGGAGUCACGCACCACCCUCUCAGGCAUGGGCAGCACUGUAUGGACCAUAGGGAGUCGCAUCAGCCACUGGAGACUGGCACACCAGCGGGGUUACCACGUGGACCAGCUAACACAGGCACCGGCUGAGGAAACACGAGCGGGACUGCAAAGCAGCUGUGAGUCUGCCCCCCCCCCCAUGGUUUAUGGGGCCUUUCUCCCCCUUCCGAUGGUAUGCUCCCGCCCUACCCAGACCUGAACUUCCUGCCAGCCCCCGUCCAUCUGACCUGAGCCCUGACCCACUAGUGCACCUGCCCCCAGCCUCCUCUGACUACCUCUCAAUACCUCUACCCUGAGCCCCUAGAGUGUCCCGCACAAUCUCCCUAACCCCCCAUGGUGGCCUGUCUUCCGGCCUUGAUCACCCCAGCCCCUCCUGCUGCCCUCUUAUGGGGCUCCCUCCCCCUGAGUCAGUCCCCCAUCACCUCUGAUGCUCCAGUUUGGGGCCCUCAUGGGGAACCCCAGUCUAGGCAUCUCUCAUGAUCCCCUGAGCUCCCUCCACCCACCCACAGGGAACACACACAAGGCUAAUGCCCCACGUGGGUCCUAUGUCAAUGGGGAAAGGACCUCCUCACAGUGCCCUCCCCCAGUCUCAGGGCACCACUGAGAACUGAGGCUCUCAUCAUGUGGAUGAGUGCUCAGAAAUCCCCCCAGGGAGGGUCAGGGCUGCAGGGAAUCACCUCCUGGACACUAAGCUCCCCCACUCCACGGCCAGGGAGGAGG
rnacentral:lncRNA from 1 species